AUUGAACGCUGGCGGCAGGCUUAACACAUGCAAGUCGAGCGGGGGAAGGUAGCUUGCUACCGGACCUAGCGGCGGACGGGUGGGUAAUGCUUAGGAAUCUGCCUAUUAGUGGGGGACAACAUCUCGAAAGGGAUGCUAAUACCGCAUACGUCCUACGGGAGAAAGCAGGGGAUCUUCGGACCUUGCGCUAAUAGAUGAGCCUAAGUCGGAUUAGCUAGUUGGUGGGGUAAAGGCCUACCAAGGCGACGAUCUGUAGCGGGUCUGAGAGGAUGAGCCGCCCCACUGGGACUGAAACACGGCCCAGACUCCUACGGGAGGCAGCAGUGGGGAAUAUUGGACAAUGGGGGGAACCCUGAUCCAGCCAUGCCGCGUGUGUGAAGAAGGCCUUAUGGUUGUAAAGCACUUUAAGCGAGGAGGAGGCUACUCUAGUUAAUACCUAGGGAUAGUGGACGUUACUCGCAGAAUAAGCACCGGCUAACUCUGUGCCAGCAGCCGCGGUAA
rnacentral:rRNA from 1 species